rnacentral:siRNA from 1 species
CAGAUAUAUUUGUACACCACAUC